rnacentral:rRNA from 1 species
AGCAGCCGCGGUAAUUCCAGCUCCAAUAGCGUAUAUUAAAGUUGUUGCAGUUAAAAAGCUCGUAGUUGAAUUUCGGGGUUCUAUCGUUGGUCGGGCUAUUGUCUGUACUGGCGUGUAGAAUUUCUACUUUCUGGGGAACUAUCAUGUUAUUAAUUUAGCGUGGUAGGAAACCAGGACCUUUACCUUGAAAAAAUUAGAGUGUUCAAAGCAGGCUUAUGACUGAAUACAUUAGCAUGGAAUAAUAAAAUAGGACGGUGGUCCUGUUUUGUUGGUUUCUGAAUCACCGUAAUGAUUAAUAGGGAUAGUUGGGGGCAUUAGUAUUCAAUUGUCAGAGGUGAAAUUCUUGGAUUUAUUGAAGACUAACUACUGCGAAAGCAUUUGCCAAGGAUGUUUUCAUUAAUCAAGAACGAAAGUUAGGGGAUCGAAGAUGAUCAGAUACCGUCGUAGUCUUAACCAUAAACUAUGCCGACUAGGAAUCGGACGAUGUUAACUUUCUUGACUCG